rnacentral:piRNA from 1 species
UGAUGUAAAGUUGUCUCCAGUUUCU